rnacentral:rRNA from 1 species
GAGCUAAUACAUGCUAACACUCUCUGACCGCAAGGGAAGAGCGCUCUUAUUAGACCAAAACCUGUCGGGCCUCGGUCCGUACUCCAAAGGUGGUGAAUCUGGAUAAUUUCGACCUGAGCGCAGGGUCUCUGAACCGGCGCCGUAUCUUUCAAGUGUCUGACUUAUCAGCUAUCGACUGUAGGUUAUGUGCCUACAUUGGCUAUAACGGGUAACGGGGAAUCAGGGUUCGAUUCCGGAGAGGGAGCCUGAGAAACGGCUACCACAUCUAAGGAAGGCAGCAGGCACGCAAAUUACCCACUCCCGGCACGGGGAGGUAGUGACGAAAAAUAACGGUGCGAGACUCAUCCGAGGCCUCGCAAUCGGAAUGAGUACACUUUAAAUCCUUUAACGAGGAUCGAUUGGAGGGCAAGUCUGGUGCCAGCAGCCGCGGUAAUUCCAGCUCCAAUAGCGUAUAUUAAAGUUGUUGUGGUUAAAAAGCUCGUAGUUGGAUCUCCACAGUCUGAAGUUGGUGUGCUUGCUAGCACUACUGCCUUAUAGACUGUAGUUUUGCCAGAGGUGUUAGGGUGCUCUUAAUCGAGUGUCCUAUCGCACUGGCAGGUUUACUUUGAAAAAAUUAGAGUGCUCAAAGCAGGCUUUAUGCUUGAAUAUUCGUGCAUGGAAUAAUAGAAUAGGAGGUCAUUUCUAUUUUGUUGGUUUUUAAGUUUUGACUUAAUGAUUAAUAGGGACAAACGGGGGCAUUUGUAUUCAGACGACAGAGGUGAAAUUCUUGGACCGUCUGAAGACUAACUACA